rnacentral:rRNA from 1 species
UACGUAGGGUGCGAGCGUUGUCCGGAAUUAUUGGGCGUAAAGAGCUCGUAGGCGGUCUGUCGCGUCGAUCGUGAAAACUUGGGGCUUAACCCUGAGCUUGCGGUCGAUACGGGCAUGACUGGAGUUCGGCAGGGGAGACUGGAAUUCCUGGUGUAGCGGUGAAAUGCGUAGAGAUCGGGAGGAACACCAGUGGCGAAGGCGGCACCCUGGACCAGCACUGACACUGAGGCACGAAAGCGUGGGGAGCAAACAGG